AUGCGUGCUUCCCGCUUUUCAUUGUGACGGCUUUGAGGGUCGAGGGAGGCAGUGCGCAUGCUCGCGGGCAUGGAUGCCUACUGCCUCCCCCUCCCUCCCUCUUUCCAUCCUUUCUUGCCUCCCCUUGAUUGGCUGAAGGCGUCGGAGGCAAGCGGACGGAAAGGGAGGGGGAGGAGGAGGCGGAGGCGAAGGAAAAAAAGGAAGAGGAGCAAGCAGCCCCGCCCCUCCUCACCAGCGAGGUCACGCCCCUCCUGGCGCGGGGGGUGGGGCCAAGGAGGCGCCCCUCUCCCGGAUUGGCCCUCGUUUUGAGCGACAGGGAAGCGAGGGGGGAGGAACCGGAGGGGGGCCGCUGCUGCCGCUAAGCCAAUAGGAAGGCCGCCCGUUCCUGCUAGAAACCCCGCCCAAGGGAGACCUGUGGCCCCGCCCUCCUCGGAUGAUGUCUCAAGCACAAAAGGAGAAACAAGAGAAGAAAAGGAACAUGGAGAAAAAAGGAUCGGGGACAGGAAGAAGAGGCUCCCUUCCAGAAGAACAGGGGAUUAAAGAUGUAAUUAGAAAAAUUAUGAAACUCCAAACAGAAGUCAAAAAGAUACAAGAUCACCAGACUGGGCCACAGCAACUCCUGGCAGGGGACCGCUAAUGAUGAUGAUGAUGAUGAUGAUGAUGUGGGAUUUCUGGCUAAAGCAUCUCCCAAAAGGAUGUCCACUCUCUUUUUUGAUGAUGAUGAUGAUGAUGAUGAUGAUGAUGAUGCUAUGGGGGUUCUCUGGAUAUCUUUGGUUCCAUUCAAUCCUAUUGCUGUGCUUCUUUUCCUUGAGGCAAAUCCACUUGUCUGUUUCUCCCCUUUUUGGGACCAAACUGACAUCUCCAUCUUCUUGAAACCUGAUGUCGACCCUGUCUGGAUUUAUUAUAUUUCGCCCCCCUUGCUUGCAUCUGUCAUAGAAAGCCGUUGACGUUGAUUAUGCUCAAAGUAGGUUAGUGGGCCAGGCUGGUGCUAGGAAACCGGCGGCAGAUCUAUGUAGCCGGCCUUUGAUUUGCUCUCCUGCUCCGACCCCCCCCCCCCCGGCCCCAACACAUUUGGAACCAUUGGACAAAAAAGGGUGCCAUAGGGACCUCUAAAGGCCAUCCAGUCCAACUCCACUCUGCAAUAAAGGACGGCACCAUCCAAUCCCUCCCAACAAAUGACCAUCCAUCCUCAUGGAGUUAGAAGAGACCCCAAAGGCCAUGCAGACCAACCCCAUUCUGCAAUAAAGGACAGCAGCAUCCAAUCCCUCCUGACCUCUGCUUAAAAACCUCAAAAUUGCCAUAUUCUUCUCCCUCAGCCAGGUGGCGCCCUUAGGGUGGAAGAGCCAGGUAGGAAGUCUGUUCAUUGCAGGUUGUAUUAGCACCUUCACAAACCUGUCAAGGUGCUAGUCCUCUUUGAGGAUGCCCUGGAUAUCUUUGUCUCUCUGUUUCCACCCAUUUUCCUCAAACUGAGACUUUUCUUUAACGCCAUUCUUGUGCAACCCAUUAUUUUCCCCAUUAAUCAUAUUGGUCUCCCUCGAUUCAAUAUAUUGCCGUGUUUUAAUUUUUUUAAACUGAGUUUCAACUUGGUUUUAUACCUCUUAAAAUGUUUUAGCUGAAAGGAAAUCAAAGGGAGAUAGACAGGGCCAUAGCUAGAGGGAGGGUUAA